rnacentral:rRNA from 1 species
GACAGAGGUCCCAAGCGUUAGGCGGAAUCACUGGGCUUAAAGCGUGUGUAGGCGGACUUCUAAGUACCUUGUGAAAUCCCACGGCUCAACCGUGGAACUGCUUGGUAUACUGGUUGUCUUGGGCCAUCUAGGGGCUAGCGGAACAAACGGUGGAGCGGUGAAAUGCGUAGAUAUCGUUUGGAACGCCAAUGGUGAAAACAGCUAGCUGGGGAUGUGCCGACGCUGAGACACGAAAGACCAGGGGAGCGAACAGG